rnacentral:pre_miRNA from 10 species
GCCAGGUGACCCUGGAAAUCCAGAGCGGGUGAGGCCUGUCCGACCAUUUCUAGGCGACCCACUCUUGGUUUCCCUGGUUGCCCUGG